rnacentral:rRNA from 1 species
UACGGGGGGAGCAAGCGUUGUUCGGAUUUACUGGGCGUAAAGGGCGCGUAGGCGGUCGUGACAAGUCACUUGUGAAAUCUCCGGGCUUAACUCGGAACGGUCAAGUGAUACUGUCGGACUAGAGUACAGAAGGGGCAACUGGAAUUCUCGGUGUAGCGGUGAAAUGCGUAGAUACCGAGAGGAACACCUGCGGCGAAGGCGGGUUGCUGGGCUGAUACUGACGCUGAGGCGCGAAAGCCAGGGGAGCGAACGGG